rnacentral:rRNA from 1 species
UGGGGAAUAUUGCACAAUGGGCGCAAGCCUGAUGCAGCCAUGCCGCGUGUAUGAAGAAGGCCUUCGGGUUGUAAAGUACUUUCAGUCGGGAGGAAGGUGUCAAGGUUAAUAACCUUGGCAAUUGACGUUACCGACAGAAGAAGCACCGGCUAACUCCGUGCCAGCAGCCGCGGUAAUACGGAGGGUGCAAGCGUUGUUCGGAAUUAUUGGGCGUAAAGGGUACGCAGGCGGUUUAAUAAGUCGAAUGUUAAAGAUCGGGGCUCAACCCCGCAAAGCAUUGGAAACUGAUAAACUUGAGUAGUGGAGAGGAAAGUGGAAUUCCUAGUGUAGUGGUGAAAUACGUAGAUAUUAGGAGGAAUACCAGUAGCGAAGGCGACUUUCUGGACACAAACUGACGCUGAGGUACGAAAGCGUGGGGAGCAAACAGG